ACUCCUACGGGAGGCAGCAGUAGGGAAUUUUCGGCAAUGGGGGCAACCCUGACCGAGCAACGCCGCGUGAGUGAUGAAAGUCUUCGGAUUGUAAAGCUCUGUUAUAAGGGAAGAAUGUCCUCGAUAGGAUCGAGGAGUGACGGUACCUUAUCAGAAAGCUACGGCUAACUACGUGCCAGCAGCCGCGGUAAU
rnacentral:rRNA from 1 species